AUUGAACGCUGGCGGCAGGCCUAACACAUGCAAGUCGAACGAGUGGCGGACGGGUGAGUAAUGUCUGGGAAACUGCCUGAUGGAGGGGGAUAACUACUGGAAACGGUAGCUAAUACCGCAUACCAUCGGAUGUGCCCAGAUGGGAUUAGCUAGUAGGUGGGGUAAAGGCUCACCUAGGCGACGAUCCCUAGCUGGUCUGAGAGGAUGACCUGCCACACUGGCACUGAGCCACGGUCCAGAAGCCUACGUGAGGCAUCUGCGGGGAAUAUUGCACAAUGGGCGCAAUCCUGAUGCAGCCAUGCCGCGUGUAUGAAGAAGGCCUUCGGGUUGUAAAGUACUUUCAGCGGUGAGGCGUUACCCGCAGAAGAAGCACCGGCUAACUCCGUGCCAGCAGCCGAGGUAAUAC
rnacentral:rRNA from 1 species